GACGAACGCUGGCGGCGGGCCUAAUACAUGCAAGUAGAACGCAGUUUCGAACGGGUGAGUAACACGUAGGUAACUGCCUCAUAGCGGGGGAUAACUAUUGGAAACGAUAGCUAAUACCGCAUACGGGGAGAUGGACCUGCGUUGUGUUAGCUAGUUGGUGAGGUGAAGGCGCACCAAGGCGACGGUACAUAGCCGACCUGAGAGGGUGAACGGGCGACAUGGGAACUAGGGACCGGCCAAAGUCCCUCGGAAGGCAGCAAGAGGGAAUUUUUGGCGAUGGGCGGAAGUCUGACCGAGCAACGCCGCGUGAGAGAAGAAUGUUUUCGGAUCGUAAAGCUCUGUUCUUAGGGGAGCGGUAACUACCCAAAAAGGGCCGGCUAACUACGUGCCAGCAGCCGCGGUAAUAC
rnacentral:rRNA from 1 species